rnacentral:rRNA from 1 species
AACAUUUAAACGGCCGCGGUACCCUAACCGUGCAAAGGUAGCGUAAUCAUUUGUCUAUUAAUUGUAGACCAGUAUGAAAGGCCACAUGAGAGCCAAACUGUCUCUUGUAACCAAUCAAUUAAACUGAUCUUCUAGUACAAAAGCUAGAAUAACCAUAUAAGACCAGAAGACCCUGUGAAGCUUAAACUAACCUACUAAACAAACUAGUAGCUACUUUCGGUUGGGGCGACCUUGGAACAAAGCAAAACUUCCAAACACAAUGAGCCAUCCCUCAUAACUACYAGGCAAACAAGCCAACAUAUGACCCAGUAACACUGAUAACUGAACCAAGUUACUCCAGGGAUAACAGCGCUAUCUUCUUCAAGARCCCUUAUCAAAAAGAAGGUUUACSAMC